CUUGUUGUGGACAGAUGUAAUGCACGUGUGCAUCGAUACCGCCCGCAGUCAUGAUUAGGUGCUCACCAGCGAUUGCAUCAGUCGCAGGACCGAUAGCUAGACCAGGAGUUACACCGUCCAUGAUAGAUGGAUUACCACAUUUACCAAUGGCUGUGAUGUUGCCGUUUUUGAUAGCAACGUCAGCUUUGAUAACACCUUGGAUAGCAUCCAAAAUGGUUACGCCAGUGAUAACUAGGUCUGGUGCACCAGCUUCGCUGGUUAGCAUGUUGUCGUAUGCCAUACCAUC
rnacentral:sRNA from 1 species